rnacentral:rRNA from 1 species
AGCGAACGCUGGCGGCAGGCUUAACACAUGCAAGUCGAACGCCACGCAAGGGGAGUGGCAGACGGGUGAGUAACACGUGGGAACGUACCCUUUGGUUAGGAAUAACUUGGGGAAACUCAAGCUAAUACCGGAUAAGCCCUUAUGGGGAAAGGUUUACUGCCGUAGGAUCGGCCCGCGUCUGAUUAGCUAGUUGGUGAGGUAAUGGCUCACCAAGGCGACGGUCAGUAGCUGGUCUGAGAGGAUGAUCAGCCACACUGGGACUUAGACACGGCCCAUACUCCUACUGGAGGCAGCGGUGGGGAAUAUUUGACAAUGGGGGCAACCCUGAUCCAGCCAUGCCGCGUGAGUGAUUAAGGCCUUAGGGUUGUAAAGCUCUUUUACCCGGGACGAUAAUGACUGUACCGGGAGAAUAAGCCCCGGCUAACUUCGUGCCAGCCGCCGCCGUAA